GUUUAUGACCAUACCAUCCUGAAUGCAUUUGAUCUGGUCUGACCUCAGAAACUAAGCAGGGACUGGCCUGGUUAGUGAUUGGAUGAGAGAAAUGUUUACCCAGGAGACAAAAAGA
ensembl:rRNA 5S_rRNA 5S ribosomal RNA